UACGUAGGGUCCGAGCGUUGUCCGGAAUUACUGGGCGUAAAGAGCUCGUAGGUGGUUUGUCGCGUUGUUCGUGAAAACUCACAGCUCAACUGUGGGCGUGCGGGCGAUACGGGCAGACUUGAGUACUGCAGGGGAGACUGGAAUUCCUGGUGUAGCGGUGGAAUGCGCAGAUAUCAGGAGGAACACCGGUGGCCAAGGCGGGUCUCUGGGCCGAAACUGACGCUGAGGAGCGAAAGCGUGGGGAGCAAACAGG
rnacentral:rRNA from 1 species